rnacentral:rRNA from 1 species
CCUACGGGCGGCAGCAGUGAGGAAUAUUGGUCAAUGGCCGGAAGGCUGAACCAGCCAAGCCGCGUGAAGGACGAAGGUGCCAAGCAUUGUAAACUUCUUUUGUCAGGGGACAAAAUCAGGCUCGAGAGCCUGACCGAGGGUACUUGAAGAAAAAGCAUCGGCUAACUCCGUGCCAGCAGCCGCGGUAAUACGGAGGAUGCGAGCGUUAUCCGGAUGUGUUGGGUUGAAAGGGUGCGUAGGGGGAAUGUUAAGUCAGCGGUAAAAGCCCGGGGCUCAACCCCGGCGGGCAGGUGAAACUGGCUGUCUUGAGAUGGCGAGAGGCAUGCGGAAUGCGCAGUGUAGCGGUGAAAUGCUUAGAUAUUGCGAAGAACUCCGAUUGCGAAGGCAGCAUACCGGCGGCGAUCUGACGCUGAGGCACGAAAGCGUGGGUAUCGAACAGGAUUAGAUACCCCUGUAGUC